rnacentral:lncRNA from 1 species
CUUGCACCCUGGUGUGCAUUCAUGUGGGUGCACACUCACAAACGUGCACGAACACACAUAGUAAUAUUAAAUGCAAAAAAAUUGAACAACAACAAAAUGAUCACGUGCUGUUGGGAGCCAAAUCUCAGGGCUGGGCAUGAGAUCCUAGGCCAUGCUUGGCAGGCCACAUAGCUAACCUUUACAUAGCAGCUCCUGCAAACCUCAGCUCAAGAAAAGAAACAACUUGACCCAGUCCUCCACCCACAGGCUCAGUCACCUAGCCAACCCCUUCUUGGACCUCUUACUCAUGAACUCUGUACCCUGCCAAACCUCUUUGUUGCUUCCUAAUAUCCUGCCUAUACUAACACCUGGUGCACAAACAACCCAUUCUGCCCCUCCCCAUAUCCUGACUAUAUAAGCUAGCCUGAGAAAAGUAAAGUUUGCCACUUGAUCAGAAUCCUGUCUUGUGGUCAAUCUUUCUGUGUCUCUUGUCCCCAUUCCCUAUCCCUGACUCUCUUGCCCCAGAUUGAUGUCCUGCAGGACGGGACAACUGGUGCCCAACGUGUGGCCGGAUAGAGUUGGGGAUCUGGGAACUUCAGUGCUCAUUAGAGGGACAGGCCCGUCCAUGCAGUGAGGCGUCCACAACAAGGUCGAUCGUGAGCCUCAGUUGGAGGAAGACCCAGCAGCCUGCCCAGCGCUUGGGACUUCAUAGGUUCAUGAGCAUCACCUAUGUGGAAAAGACCCCAAACUCCUCUUCAGAUGUGCAUGAUGCAGAGGUGCACGUGCCACAGCCUUCCCCAUAAGAAGUCAGAAGACCACUCUGGAGCCCGUGCUCAUGCCAUCUUCAUCCGGGUUACAAGGAUUUCACUUAGGUGGCCAGAUUUGCAUGAGCUUUUAUCCAGUAGCUGAUGGAAGCAGACACAGACACCCAAAGCUAAACACUGAGCUGAACUCUAGAAUCCAGUUGCAGAGAGGAAGGAGUGAUGAUCAAAGGGGUCAAGAGCAGGCUGGAGAAACCCACAGAAACAGCUGACCUGAAUAAGAGGGAGUUCAUGGAGCCAAGACUGAGAGCUGGGAAACCAGCAUAGGACUGUUCCAGACCCCCUGAACGUGGGUAUCAGUAAGGAGGCCUGGGCAGUCUAUGGGGCCUCUGGUAGUGGAUCAGUGUUUAUCCCUAGUAUAAGAAUGGACUUUGGGAGCCCUCUCCUCAUAGAGGGAUACUCUCUCAGCCUAGACACACUGGGGAGGGUCUAGGCCCUGCUGCAAAUGUUAUGACAGACUUUGAAGAUCCCCCAAGGAAGGCCUCACCCUCCCUGGGGAG